UACGUAGGGCGCGAGCGUUGUCCGGAAUUAUUGGGCGUAAAGAGCUCGUAGGCGGCCUGUUACGUCUGCUGUGAAAUCCCGGGGCUUAACCCCGGGCGUGCAGUGGAUACGGGCAGGCUGGAGGCAGGCAGGGGAGAACGGAAUUCCCGGUGUAGCGGUGAAAUGCGCAGAUAUCAGGAGGAACACCGGUGGCGAAGGCGGUUCUCUGGGCAUUACCUGACGCUGAGGAGCGAAAGUGUGGGGAGCGAACAGG
rnacentral:rRNA from 1 species